rnacentral:rRNA from 1 species
CGAGCGCAACCCUUAAGCUUAGUUGCCAUCAUUAAGUUGGGCACUCUAAGUUGACUGCCGGUGACAAACCGGAGGAAGGUGGGGAUGACGUCAAAUCAUCAUGCCCCUUAUGAUUUGGGCUACACACGUGCUACAAUGGACAAUACAAAGGGCAGCGAAACCGCGAGGUCAAGCAAAUCCCAUAAAGUUGUUCUCAGUUCGGAUUGUAGUCUGCAACUCGACUACAUGAAGCUGGAAUCGCUAGUAAUCGUAGAUCAGCAUGCUACGGUGAAUACGUUCCCGGGUCUUGUACACACCGCCCGUCACACCACGAGAGUUUGUAACACCCGAAGCCGGUGGAGUAACCUUUUAGGAGCUAGCCGUCGAAGGUGGGACAAAUGAUUGGGGUGAAGUCGUAACAAGGUAGCCGUAUCGGAAGGUGCGGCUGGAUCACCUCCUUUCUA